UUAAAUUGAAGAGUUUGAUCAUGGCUCAGAUUGAACGCUGGCGGCAGGCCUAACACAUGCAAGUCGAACGGUAACAGGAAACAGCUUGCUGUUUCGCUGACGAGUGGCGGACGGGUGAGUAAUGUCUGGGAAACUGCCCGAUGGAGGGGGAUAACUACUGGAAACGGUAGCUAAUACCGCAUAACGUCGCAAGACCAAAGAGGGG
rnacentral:rRNA from 1 species